UACGUAGGGUGCAAGCGUUAAUCGGAAUUACUGGGCGUAAAGCGUGCGCAGGCGGUGAUGUAAGACAGGUGUGAAAUCCCCGGGCUUAACCUGGGAACUGCAUUUGUGACUGCAUCGCUGGAGUGCGGAAGAGGGGGAUGGAAUUCCGCGUGUAGCAGUGAAAUGCGUAGAUAUGCGGAGGAACACCGAUGGCGAAGGCAAUACCCUGGGCCUGCACUGACGCUCAUGAACGAAAGCGUGGGGAGCAAACAGG
rnacentral:rRNA from 1 species